CUACCAGCCAGUACAAUGUUUGGUUACCAUGGAGACUGAGCGUAGACUACUGGACUAACUGACAUGAUUUUCACAUUAUAGAUCCUGCGUGGCUGCAGACGUUGUGGACAGACGUCUGACCCUGCAAUCAGCCUUGCAUAUUUACUGUCAACACAGGCRAACCCAUUUCAGCACACAGCACCAACACAGACGGAAAUUUUGGCACACCUUCUCUGAUGUCCAGCRGGAAGACAUUUCUGGCCACCUUUUUAUUGCUUUUUGAAUCGCYGGGAAUGGACGCAUCAGCAGUUGUGACGCAUUUGUGGUCACUUUGCACAUCUUGUCACUUUUAACGUGUUUCCUAGCAGAAAUGUCUUCUUUUUCCAAAUAUACGCAUCUAAACUUUAGCUACGUAGCAAUCUGA